UAGGGAAUAUUGGACAAUGGGCGGAAGCCUGAUCCAGCCAUACCGCGUGAAGGAAGAAGGUCCUCUGGAUUGUAAACUUCUUUUAUACAGGAAGAAACGUAGAUUUGCGAAUUUACUUGACGGUACUGUAUGAAUAAGCACCGGCUAACUACGUG
rnacentral:rRNA from 1 species